GUCAGCUGGCAGAGCAGGAUACCUCCCCCACCCGUCACACGCUGAGCCAAGAGGAGCAUGGCACUGCCAGGGCCGGGGCCGGGUGCCAGCUCGGAUUCCCCGGGUUCCUUCUUCCUCCCACCUCCCUGGCCCUGCGGCCGCUUUGCCUCCAGCCCCCCUGACUGCAAUCUCCAUGCACUUUCUUUCCCGUGAGCACAAAAUUGCCGCUUCUCAUAUAACACAUAAGCUGUGGUGUGAACUUCUGGGUGGAGAGGGCCCGGCAAGGGUGAAAACUCAGCCGGCCACAAGCAAAUCCCGAGAUAACUUGGGUAAGUAAGUCAUUCCUCUCUCUCCCCGCUCAGUUUCCCCACCUGUAAAAGGGAAGUCCAGAUACUUGCCCUGAUGACCUCCAGGGCUGUUCCAAAGCUGAGAUUCAUCUCUGCCAGGCCGUGGUUUCUGAGAGGCUCUGAAGACCGGCCCUCCCCCAUAAGCACUGGGAUUCCCUACCAGGAGCCUUGGAAAUGAACUCCAGGGCAGUGCGAUAGAGAUGGUCAAGCACCUGGGAACUUGUUCAGCCGGCUCUGCAGCGGUGAUCAGCCCCCCCCCCCCCCGGGCUUCUGGGAGCACUCUGGUCCAGUGGGCUGUGGUGGGAAGGUGGGGAAGACAGCUGACUUCAGGCUUCCAGCAGCCCCUCUCCCUGGAGAGGCCAGACCCCCAGUGGCCUAGCCCUUCUCUCUGCAAACUGCACAAGACCCAGAGCGGAGGCAAAGAAGGAUGUUGUCAAGGGUGUAAUAAACGACUUAUUGACUGGUAAGCAGAGUUCUCAGGGCUGGGAGACCGACCUUCCGGCAAUUAUACCCUCCACCGCCUGCCCAAAGACCCCUCCCUCUCUGUGGAGGCUCAGGUCUGGCUGAGCCCCUUCCCCCCCAGACCCUGUCCUGACCUAUAGGGGCCUGAGGCCUGCAGACAAGGUGCCCCCAGGGCUGCCAAUGAUCCUCCCCAUGCACCCACAUGAACGUGCACCCUCUCGGACUGACCCUUAAAAUGGUACAGGCUGGAGAGAGAAGACUGACAUGCUGGCCGGGACUGGUCUAUGGGGGGAAAGCCCAGUUCUGCCUGUUAGCUCUUUACUGAGACCA